rnacentral:rRNA from 5 species
GAUGAACGCUGGCGGCGUGCCUAACACAUGCAAGUCGAACGGAGAUUUAACGCUGAUGAAGCUUCGGCAGAUUCUUGUUAAAUCUUAGUGGCGGACGGGUGAGUAACGCGUGGGCAACCUGCCUCAUACUGGGGGAUAACAGCUGGAAACGACUGUUAAUACCGCAUAAGCGCACAGCAUCGCAUGAUGCAGUGUGAAAAACUCCGGUGGUAUGAGAUGGGCCCGCGUCAGAUUAGCCAGUUGGCAGGGUAACGGCCUACCAAAGCGACGAUCUGUAGCCGGCCUGAGAGGGCGGACGGCCACAUUGGGACUGAGACACGGCCCAAACUCCUACGGGAGGCAGCAGUGGGGGAUAUUGCACAAUGGAGGAAACUCUGAUGCAGCGACGCCGCGUGAGUGAAGAAGUAUUUCGGUAUGUAAAGCUCUAUCAGCAGGGAAGAAAGACUCGUAAGAGAGAUGACGUAC